rnacentral:sRNA from 1 species
CCUGGGGCGUGGUCGCCGGGCUGCCGUGCGCUCGGGAUCAGUCUUUUUAUACAUAAAUAUAUAUAUGUUAUAAAAUAACUAAUUUCGGUGGAGUACUUUACUUUGAUAUUCCAUUUGCAAAACAGAACCACUGAUUCCUUCCUGCUUGACAAGAUUGAGUCGCUAUCGAGGAGCUGCCCGUGCUUUGGAAAUGGUCCAAAUCAACGAGGAACUGCCAAGGAGCCCCCUCAGACACCUUCUCUAAGCCACACAAGCCAUGGAGUAUAGUAUGUCUCCAUCACCAAAGAGGAGCACUCGACACCUCUCUGCACAGACAAGAAUAUCUUGACCAGAGGCACUGAGAGCCUUCCAGGGUGGCACAGAGACCUGUGUGUGCAAGGUGGCAGAGAUGUGGUGCAGAGGAGAUGGGCACUUACUCCAGCGCUGAUACACAGAAGCCAGCUUUGUUCAAAACAGGGUUGUUUAGCAAGGUUGCAC